rnacentral:misc_RNA from 1 species
UUAAACCCUAGAUCCUCCUUCAAUUUACUGUACUUCUGUCUCUGUUACGUGAGAAGGAAAAAAAAGCAGCGGCAACCUUAACCUACAAAGAAAAUGCAGUUCCUCUUACGGUAUCUCCCCAAACAUUGCCUCCUCCGCCGCCCUCACCACCGUGGCUUCGUCGACUUUGCUGCUAUCAAACAUCUACGCGACCGGGGCCUCGACCAUGCAGUACAGAGAGAAAAGCAUCUGAAGCCCAUGCUGAACAUCAAGAACCUCAUAAAAUCAGAGCCAGCAAAAUCCCUCCCUCUAUCCGUCAUUACUCAGCACAAGGACUCCCUCGAAAUCCCAAGUCGCCCUAUUGAAUUCAUCCGAAAAUACCCUUCAAUCUUCGAAGAAUUUCUCCCUGGGGGAAUAGGUGUUCAUCCCCACGUCAAGCUCACGCAACAGGUACUUGAUCUUGAUGCUGAAGAGCAGUUAGUUUACCAGAGUGAGAGUUAUAGGCAGGAUAUUGCUGAUAGACUCUUAAAAUUGUUAAUGAUUUCGAGAAUUAAUAAAAUACCACUGAAGAUUCUGGAUGAUAUAAAAUGGGAUUUGGGUUUACCUGAAGAUUAUACCAAGAGUAUUGUUCCUGAGUUCCCUGACUGUUUUCGAGUUAUUGGUAAUAAGAAUUUGUCAUCUGGGUUGGAUUCAGAUUUGGAAUUGGAGCUAGUUUGUUGGAGUAAUGAAUUCGCUAUUUCGUUCAUAGAAAAGAAGGCAACAAGAGGGAAAAUGGAUUACAAAAAGGGGAUGCCUAUUGCUUUCCCUAUGCAUUUUUCGAAGGGUUUUGAGAUGGAUAAGCAGUUGAAGAAAUGGUUUGACGAUUGGCAAAAGUUGCCUUAUAUUUCUCCAUAUGAGAAUGCAACCCACCUUGGGCCUAGUACCGAUGAAUCUGACAAGUGGACAGUGGGGGUUCUGCACGAGAUUAUUCGUCUUUUUGUUUCAAAGAAGGUGGAGAAGGACGCUUUAUUGUGUCUGGGAGAGUGGUUGGGGAUCCGGUCAAGGUUAAAGAGAGCAUUGCUUCACCAUCCAGGGAUAUUUUACUUGUCUAGUAAAUUGGGAACUUAUACCGUGGUUUUAAGGGAGGCCUAUAAGAGGGGAUUGUUAAUAGAGAAGAAUCCACUGAUUAGUAUUAGGAGUAGGUAUAUUCAUCUCAUGAACAUUGUAACUGAGGAUCGAAAAGCAAUUGGUGUGCCUGGUGGAAGUACACAAGGGAAGAAGCCGGUCCCUGAUUCUAAAGAACAAAGAGAAAAAGGUGAUUGUCAGGGUAGUCUGGAGAUGAAUGAUAUGGAUUCUGAUUUUGAGAAUGAUGAUGACUACAAAUA